CGCCUGCAAGUAAAAUAAUUCAAAUUUAUGAAACAGAAGUAUAACUCACAACAAAUAAAUAUAACGAAAAGUGUUACAAUUACGUAUACAAUCUAAAAAUUCAAUAUGGAUAAUAAGUUGCAUAAUCAAGCUAAAAGUGAUUCAUAUUUCCAUAAAACAGAACAUCAUUUCAACAUCAAAUGAUAAAUUUAAUGUGUUACUAAUACAUUUGAUACGGUUUGCAGUCGUUCCUAAAUAGUUAAUGAUCGUACAAAUGAUAUUGAUUCAUUUGUAUAUAUACUAAUAUAUACGUCUUUAACAAAUUAUUUAAAGUUAGGCAUGCAUCAUAUAAAACGAAUGCAACAAAACAACGUCAUAGCUUUGACCGUCUAGGUUUAACCUUGCUUUAUAGAACUGCAAUCUUACAUUUAAUACAUAAAGAUUAUUCAUUGACUAUAAAUAUGAAGAUCAUGCAAACAAAAUUAUCAAAAAUGGAAAACUAAAAAAAUGUCCACGGUAACAAUUCUCUAAAGAUGGAUCCCAUAUAAAUUUGUGUACAAUUAGAUGAGUUAUUCACUUGAAAUUUACAAACACAAUUCCCUUAAGUAUGACUUAUGUAACAUGCUUCUUGUAGCGUCGAAUGCAAUGCAACUUAUUAAACUUAAUUCCCAACACUAUGAAUAAAACUUUUCAUUUGCAAAUUUUACAUUGCAAAUUGUACAAUUAAGAGAAGAGAGUCGCAAAGCUAGAAUCAUAAAGUGUUUUAGAGAACAACACUAAAUAAGCACAGACAAAGCAAUGAAACC
rnacentral:lncRNA from 1 species